rnacentral:rRNA from 1 species
CCUACGGGAGGCAGCAGUGGGGAAUAUUGGACAAUGGGCGAAAGCCUGAUCCAGCGACGCCGCGUGGGUGAAGAAGGCCUUCGGGUUGUAAAGCCCUUUAAGCCGGGACGAAAAAGCUACACCUAACACGUGUGGCCUUGACGGUACCGGAAGAAUAAGCACCGGCUAACUCUGUGCCAGCAGCCGCGGUAAUACAGAGGGUGCGAGCGUUAAUCGGAUUUACUGGGCGUAAAGCGUGUGUAGGUGGCUUUCUAAGUCGGUUGUGAAAUCCCUGGGCUCAACCUGGGAAUUGCAGUCGAUACUGGAAAGCUCGAGUUCGGUAGAGGACGGCGGAAUUCCCGGUGUAGCGGUGAAAUGCGUAGAUAUCGGGAGGAACAUCGAUGGCGAAAGCAACCGUCUGGGCCUGAACUGACACUGAGACACGAAAGCGUGGGGAGCAA